ACUGCGCCCCGACCUGAGUGGAGCUCUUUUUGCGAGGAGGCAUGACGAACAAAAAGCGGGAACGGAGGGCGGAAAUGUGC
rnacentral:misc_RNA from 1 species